rnacentral:rRNA from 1 species
UACGUAGGGCGCAAGCGUUGUCCGGAAUUAUUGGGCGUAAAGAGCUCGUAGGCGGCCAGUUGCGUCUGCUGUGAAAUCCCGGGGCUCAACCCCGGGCGUGCAGUGGAUACGGGCUGGUUAGAGGCAGGCAGGGGAGAACGGAAUUCCCGGUGUAGCGGUGGAAUGCGCAGAUAUCAGGAGGAACACCGGUGGCGAAGGCGGGUCUCUGGGACGGUACUGACGCUGAGACGCGAAAGCGUGGGGAGCGAACAGG